GAUUACUUGCUCAGUGACUAUAAUGCCUAAACUUUCUACGCGGUUUUAAUCGUGAAAAAAAAACAAUUAUAAAUCCUGAAGGAUCAAUUAAUUGGUAUACAGUUUAAUUAAAAAAAUUAAAAACAAAAUAAAUAAAAUAAUGUGCAUUCGCGUAAAGUUAGACCAAAUACAUUUUUUCCAUCCUCCUAUAUACCUAUCGCUAUGAAGGUAUAAAAAAGAUAGGUUAAGAGUUCACAUAGGUAAUAUAAACAAAUAAGUAAAUAUGUUCAUUAUUUAUCUUUCAAGAGAUAAUGUAGGUAUACAUUAUAAUAACAUUUUGACACAGUCGAAAUUAUAUUCCUAACAUUAGUAAAAUAACAUUUUAAUAUUUUUUUUAUAGGUUAUGUAUUGAAAUUGUUGGAAAAUUAUUUCAUGUUUUAGCUGGAAAACUACAUGGAGAAUUAUAUGCAAUACAAGAUAAUGAGCUCCAUCAAAUGAAUUCGAAUGAAACCAAACUGUUUACCAUCCAAAUUCGAUUGUCGGGCAGAUAGAAAACGAAAAUUCAAUCAUAGUGAACCUCGGCCUGCAUUUGUGAAACGGCAAAGACUCACUAUUAUCAAGGAAAUUGAAGAGACGACUAAAAAUGAGAUGUGUCGUAUUAUUAUACCUUUGCCAUCUUGUAGUCAAGAUGUCCAGCCACUUGAAAAUAGGUGUAGUAAUGACAAAGCUAUCCAAGUAGCUCCAGCACAGGAACACAAAGGCAAGGCAAGUGUGUAUUGCCACAUCACCCCUUAAUAUAUCUGAAGCAAGUAUAAGUAAACAAUCAGAACCAGCAAAAAAAAAACUGUUGUUCCUGAGGACAAAUUUGACAGUGAUGAGUCAAAUGCACCAGCAACAGAAGGAUCAACUGUUGACUAUGAGUUAUCUCUCUAUAUCUCCACUCCAUCAAAGACUUGUGCACUUCAGACUAUAGCUCUCAAGAAGACUAAAAAGUUGAAAAAAUGAAUGUGUUAACAACUUUAUCUAAAGUGAAAAAUAAACAACGUUUAUAUAUUGGUCUUCCACAAGAAUUAUGUUUCAUAAUAGGCUUGAUUGAGAAACAUACAAAUGUUUCUGAACAAAAUAUUAUAUUAUGUCUGAUGAGAAUAACAUUAAAUAGAACAUUCUCUCAAUUGGCUGAUGAUUUCGAUUUAUCUGUAAGUCAAGCAAGCAAUAUAUUUUUCAACAAACUCCCAGAAAUUGCAAAUGUAAUAUCACCCCUUGUUAGACUAUAAAAAAAACAAUACAAUAAAUAUAUAUGCAGGAAGGAUAAUUGAUGUCAACUUGGUGGAAAAUAGAAAGUUUUUAGAUAGUUUGCCACCUACAAAACUCUUUAAUUAAAUAAGUAAUCCUUACUUAUAAAUAGGAAGUUUUGUAAGUAUUUUCACUCUUCAUUCAAAAAUUACUGAACAGAUUUUAAUAAGACUUUUAUGCUGGUCUUCUAUGGCUAGCAACUCAUUAUUAUUUUGAUUCUGUUUUCCACAAAUGUGCUAAAUAUGGGCUUUUAAAUAUGAAAAGGAAUAAAUAUUAAUGUUAUGUAACCUUUGUACCUGUAUGUUAAGAAUAAUUUUUAAUAAAACAUAAUUUAAAUUGAAAUAUUAUUUUUAUUAAAUCACAUUCACUUUGUACACAUCAAUAUUUUGUACUCCCUAUUUUUUUAUUAUUUUUUUUAUUGCUUAGAUGUGUGGACGAGCUCACAGCCCACCUGGUGUUAAGUGGUUACUGGAGCCCAUAGACAUCUACAACGUAAAUGCGCCACACACCUUGAGAUAUAGUUCUAAGGUCUCAGUAUAGUCACAACGGCUGCCCCACCCUUCAAACCGAAACGCAUUACUGCUUCACGGCAGAAAUAAGCGGGGCGGUGGUACCUACCCGUGCGGACUCACAAGAGGUGCUACCACCAGUAAUUACGCAAAUGAUAAUUUUGCGGGUUUGAUUUUUAUUGCACGAUGUUAUUCCUUCAUCGUGGAAGUCAAUCGUGAACAUUUGUUGAGUACGUAUUUCAUUAGAAAAAUUGGUACCCGCCAGCGAGAUUCGAACACCAGUGCAUCGCUCGAUACGAAUGCACCGGACGUCUUAACCUUUAGGCCACGACGACUCACUAAAAGGAAAAUAGGUAUAAAGUUUUUUUUAAAUAUUUAACAUUACAUUUUUGUGUAAGAUUAGAAAAUUGUUAUUCUUCCAAAAAGAAACUACAUUAUCUAACAACUGUGCAACUUACUCGGAAUCAAAAUCAAUACCUACUAAUUAUAGUGACCUGAUUAGUUUUUUCAAAGUUGCUGGAUGCUACACAAAAGUAGCAAGUUUUACUUUUAGCACAAUACAUAUGCAUUUGAACUUGUGCAUAAUAUCUUUCUUUAAUUUUUUUUUGCCUUUUUAUUUAUGGAAACAUAGCAUUACUCACUUGCUUGUUUGUAGAUCUAUCAAAAAAACAUAAUUUAUGUUUUUUUUAGCACAGUGGGCAAUACCCUAUUAUUCAUAUUAAUUAUAUACGGCGCGGCGAUGCGAAAAUUCAUUACUGAAUUAUUUAAGAAUGAUAGGCAUAAUAUAAUAUUUUAAUUCGCGAUCUGUUUAUAAUUUUUAAUAUAUGAUUUAAAAAUAAGUUAUCUUUAAUAUUUUUAAUUUUGUGAUUUAUGGGGUGGUCACAGUCAUUAUUAUAAAAAUAGAAAUUUUGAGGAAAUAUAAAUGUUUAAUACAAAUUAUUUUGAUAAUCGAAAUAAAUUCAUAUCAAUCCAAAUUCAUAUUUGAACUAUGAAAAUUGUAUGGUAUGUAAACAGAAAUAUAUUUUAUAAUUAUAAUGACUAUUUAUUCCAUGCAGUAUCUGUGCAAGCUUCUCUAACCGACACUGCAACUAGAAUAAAGUCUAAUAAAGAAUAAGAAUAAACUUUUCUUCGAAGCUCAAUUCUACAAGGGUAUUCAAUCAGAUAGCUAUCUAUCUGUCGUUCCUGUAUGAAAUUUUGAUAUAUUAAGGGGUGAUGUGGCAAUACACACUUGCCUUGCCUUUGUGUUCCUGUGCUGGAGCUACUUGGAUAGCUUUGUCAUUACUACACCUAUUUUCAAGUGGCUGGACAUCUGGAAAUAUGAAAUAAUGUUAGCAAUUUCCAACAAACGUAUAGUUUGUAAAUAUAUAGGAUUAUAUGUGUACUGUCAUAGUAGUAGUAGUAGUAUUUAACUUCCUAGUCAUCAUCAUCAGCCCAUAUAAUAUAUCCCCUUGCUGGACACUGGCCUUCACUACCAUUGAGAGGGUUUUUAGGCCUUAGUCCACCACGCUGGCCUAGUGCUGGUUGGUGGAUUACACACCUAAGAAAAUCCUAAGAACAUUUAGGUGUGCAGGUUUCAUCACAAUGUUUUCCUUCACUGUUAAAGUAAGUAAGUGAUAUUACACUGUGAUAAAUUUUCAUUUUCACAAACUUCCUAGUACCUUAUGUAAUAGGAACUGAGAUCCACUUGCCCAUUUUGGCUACUUCCACUAACUAACUAACUAUUCUCAUUUUUUCUGAUAUUGUUAUUUGAUUAGGAGAUCUGUGAGUGUAACUAAUUAUUGACAGUUACACCUACCUUGACUACAAGAUGGCAAAGGUAUAAUAAUACGACACAUCUCAUUUUUAGUCGUCUCUUCAAUUUCCUUGAUAAUAGUGAGUCUUUGCCGUUUCACAAAUGCAGGCCGAGGUUCACUAUGAGUGAAUUUUCGUUUUCUAUCUGCCCGACAAUCGAAUUUGGAUGGUAAACAGUUUGGUUUCAUUCGAAUUCAUUUGAUGGAGCUCAUUAUCUUGUAUUGCAUAUAAUUCUCCAUGUAGUUUUCCAGCUAAAACAUGAAAUAAUUUUCCAACAAUUUCAAUACAUAA